GGAGUAAUACCUCAGUGGUAGAGCACGUGCUUAGCAUGCAUAAGGUUCGGGGUUCAAUCCCCAGUAUUUCCA
rnacentral:tRNA from 1 species